rnacentral:sRNA from 1 species
AAGGGACCUAGCGUAGUUCGGAAUUACUGGGCUUAAAGAGUUCGUAGGUGGCUGAAAAAGUUGGUGGUGAAAUCCCAGAGCUUAACUCUGGAACUGCCAUCAAAACUUUUCAGCUAGAGUAUGAUAGAGGAAAGCAGAAUUUCUAGUGUAGAGGUGAAAUUCGUAGAUAUUAGAAAGAAUACCAAUUGCGAAGGCAGCUUUCUGGAUCAUUACUGACACUGAGGAACGAAAGCAUGGGUAGCGAAGAGGAUCAGAUACCCUCGUAGUCCAUGCCGUAAACGAUGUGUGUUAGACGUUGGAAAUUUAUUUUCAGUGUCGCAGGGAAACCGAUAAACACACCGCCUGGGGAGUACGACCGCAAGGUUAAAACUCAAAUGAAUUGACGGGGACCCGCACAAGUAGUGGAGCAUGUGGUUUAAUUCGAAGAUACGCGCAGAACCUUACCAACACUUGACAUGUUCGUCGCGACUCUAAGAGAUUAGAGUUUUCGGUUCGGCCGGACGAAACACAGGUGCUGCAUGGCUGUCGUCAGCUCGUGUCGUGAGAUGUUGGGUUAAGUCCCGCAACGAGCGCAACCCUCACUUUUAGUUGCCAUCAUUAAGUUGGGCACUCUGAAAGAACUGCCAGUGAUAAGCUGGAGGAAGGUGGGGAUGACGUCAAGUCCACAUGGCCCUUAUGUGUUGGGCUACACACGUGCUACAAUGGCAUCUACAACAGGAAGCAAAACGGCAACGUUAAGCAAAUCCCGAAAAGAUGCCUCAGUUCGGAUUGCACUCUGCAACUCGAGUGCAUGAAGCUGGAAUUGCUAGUAAUCGUGGAUCAGCGUGCCACGGUGAAUGCGUUCCCGGGUCUUGUACACACCGCCCGUCACACCAUGGGAGUUGGUUCUACCUUAAGGCAAGGUUUCAAACCCUUGACCACGGUAUAGUCAGCGACUGGGGUGAAGUCGUAACAAGGUAGCCGUAGGGGAACCUGCGGCUGGAUUACCUCCUUUCUAAGGAUGAGUGAAAGAGAAAAAUUUCACUCUAAAUAAUAUACAUCGGUAAUGUUGACCGUCCUCAUUUCUCUUCUUAAAGUAAUGUUUCCUUCUUGUAGGGCCGGUAGCUCAGUUGGUUAGAGCACACCCUUGAUAAGGGUGGGGUCGAAAGUUCGAGUCUUUCUCGGCCCACCGAAAACCUAAAUGGGGGAUUAGCUCAUCUGGGAGAGCGCCUGAUUUGCAUUCAGGAGGUAGCAGGUUCGAUCCCUGUAUCCUCCACCAGGAAACAUUUAGUUAUUAAAACUGUAAAUAAAAAUAAUUUAUAUCAAUAUCUAUAUCCGAACAUUAAAAGUUAUUAUUUAAUGUUCAAAAUAAAAAUUUGAUCACAACAUAGAUAAAUUUUCUGUUAAAAGAAUUUUUUUCUGUGCAUAAAUCAAGCGUUUAAGGGCGUGUAGUGGAUGCCUUGGCACUGAAAGCCGAUGAAGGACGUGAUAUACUGCGAUAAGUUUCGGGGAGCUGUAUGUAAGCUUUGAUCCGAAAAUUU